AUUGAACGCUGGCAGCAUGCCUUACACAUGCAAGUCGAACGGUAACAGGUCUUCGGACGCUGACGAGUGGCGAACGGGUGAGUAAUACAUCGGAACGUGCCCAGUCGUGGGGGAUAACUACUCGAAAGAGUAGCUAAUACCGCAUACGAUCUGAGGAUGAAAGCGGGGGACCUUCGGGCCUCGCGCGAUUGGAACGGCCGAUGGCAGAUUAGGUAGUUGGUGGGAUAAAAGCUUACCAAGCCGACGAUCUGUAGCUGGUCUGAGAGGACGACCAGCCAAACUGGGACUGAGACACGGCCCAGACUCCUACGGGAGGCAGCAGUGGGGAAUUUUGGACAAUGGGCGAAAGCCUGAUCCAGCAAUGCCGCGUGCAGGAUGAAGGCCUUCGGGUUGUAAACUGCUUUUGUACGGAACGAAAAAGUCUCCUCUAAUACAGGAGGCCCAUGACGGUACCGUAAGAAUAAGCACCGGCUAACUACGUGCCAGCAGCCGCCGUAA
rnacentral:rRNA from 1 species